GAAAUGCGAUAAUUAAUGUGAAUUGCAGAAUUCAGUGAAUCAUCGAGUCUUUGAACGCACAUUGCGCCCCCUGGUAUUCCGGGGGGCAUGCCUGUACGAGCGUCAUUGCUGCCCUCAAGCACGGCUUGUGUGUUGGGCUUCCGUCCCUGGCAACGGGGACGGGCCCAAAAGGCAGUGGCGGCACCAUGUCUGGUCCUCGAGCGUAUGGGGCUUUGUCACCCGCUCCCGUAGGUCCAGCUGGCAGCUAGCCUCGCAACCAAUCUUUUUAACCAGGUUGACCUCGGAUCAGGUAGGGAUGCCCGCUGAACUUAAGC
rnacentral:misc_RNA from 1 species